UCCUGGGACAGUCCCUCUCCUCCACGGGGGCCACUUUGCUGACGGUAACGCUGGGGCGGCCGGGGCUGCAGGGCCCGGUGCUCGGGGCUGCAGCGGCCGCCGUGCCAGUGGCCGGCCGAGGGGCGGGCUGCGCCGCGGGAGCCGGGGCCCCGCCGCCCGACCUACCGCGCCCGCCACAGCCGUUACUGCCUUGGGGUUCUCAAGCCCACACAAACCAACCGCCAUUGUUCGCUCAUGGCGGUUCCCGGUUCACCCCGCGGAACAGCAGGAGCCCUCCCCACGCGAGAACCGCCCGCCUCGGCGGCGCCGUUAUCCCACCGGGGUAACGGGCCGCUCUGACGCAAACGGCUCGCGGCGCAGCGGCGCCUCGCUGCAAUUAAAGUUUCGGUAAACUGGGUUGGCGAGCCGCCGCGCGGUACCGCGCACGCCGGCCGUGUCCACAGGCACCUCUUGGAGGAUGUCGGUAACCGCUGGCCGCGGCACAGCCGGCGGGUCACCGAGGAAACCCUCCUCCCGAGUGCAGGGACACACGCACGCAGUGUGAGGAAAUUAAUUCACAGUAAGUCCAGGUGGUUUUGGUGACAUGGAGACGGAGGCUUUGCCAUCCCACAGGAUUCCUGCUUAAGACAUGCAAGUCCCUCAUUCUGUUUGGUUGGAAGAUUUCUACUGACUGCUCUGCAACAUCCAUAAGACUGCAGCAGGAGAGAUCAGCCCUGCUCACUGAAUGCCUAAUGGUGCCCUUACAACAAAGCACUGACAAGAAAUUGCAAGAUAUCUGUUUGCAACAUCACCACAUAAGGAAAUCCCACAGAUGCCAACAGGAGUCUCCAUGAAAGGCAAAAUCCUGGCCCCAUUGAAGGAAUCCCCAAAUCACGUAAUCAUCAUAGACACUAUGGGUGCUGAUUACUUUUUGCAGGGCUCCUCCACAUCAACGUUACGAAGAAGUCAUUUUUCCCUGUGCUUGCCCAUUAACUCUAAGCCAGGUAAUUUUCCUAAUGAAAUCGGUAAUACCAUUUCUUUGUCCUUUGAUCAGGUUGUCUGAAUUAAUUUGUGCCUGUAUCUAUGCUAACCACAACAGUUUUAAACCUCAGCCUAAGUUCCUGCAAAAUUUAGCCACAAAUACAUGCAUUUCCCUUCUGUUGUUUGCUCCCAGUGAUGCAAGCUUCAUUAUUCUUUCCUUUCUUCCUCCUUCCUCCCACUCAUGUAUUUGAGGCUUUCUUACAUGCUUUGUAGCUCUGCUUCUCACCUCCUCCUCAUUUAGAUCCUUCCUAAAGAAAAGAGUGUCUUAGAAGACCCACGUUUGCAAAGGAAAAAUAUUAAUAGUGGAGACUUUCUCAGAGGUGCAGUUUUCCUAUGUCUUCAAGUGCAUCUUGUCUCCCUGUAUCAAUCUUAGCAAUGUUAACUCUCCCAUGUAGAGGACUGCUUUGUUAUCUGUAUCUGUCGGAUAAAAUAUAAAAUUCUUGCCUCUCUCCAAAUGGGGAAAAAAUUUACGAUCUACACUGUAGAAUGUUUUCUCAUGUCCAUGUCAGUCCAUUUUCUCUAAUUUUCCUUGAAGUUUUUCAUUAAGCCUUGUUUUCUUGGAGAGCCUGUAAAUCCAGGCUUUCCAGCUGGCAGCGCCUGGAUGAUUUCUGGCCUUUCGCCCGAAUUUACAGCCCCGAGAGCAGCCCCAAGGCACAGGUGACUCCCCUCCUAUCUCAAGAAGAAAUGCCCCUGCCGCCUCUUCUCUGCUGCCAGCACAGCACCGUGCUUCCUCCAGGGACAGACAGAUGAGAGGCACUUUGCCACAGGGAUCCCUCUUGGGAACAAAUCCAGUCCCGCGGGGGAUGCAGCUCAAAAGGAGUUUGGCUGCAUCUACAAAGUAGCUGUAGGUCCUGCUAUAAACCUCCUCAUAUCUCUUCAAGGACUUGCUGUAGCACCAUGUGAUUAUUUACCAAGGAUCAGAGUUAGGAGGCGUUGCAGGAGAUGUGCACAGUGCUUCCAUGCGUGCCCUGCUCCACAACUCCAUUGUGUUGUGUUGUUACCAUUCAAUUUUUCGCUUCCAAAUUUGUUUAUCAUGACUGAGAUGGCUGGGGGGCUCCCAGGCCAGGUAUUGUGAUUAAUGGGGGCAACAUGAAAGUGAACAUAACUGUGGUUGGAAAUUGGUCACCAUACAACUGCUCAUUGUUUCCAAAACGUCAUUCUAUAGAUGUACUCUUUACCCUUCUAAUUUCUUGAACUUGUUUGGUCUCCUCAUUUGAACACAAAGAUGAAAAUGCCAAUGCUUUAAGCCAGAUCACCCAUUUUCAAAGGCAGAAAGAUGUCAGUGACUUUUUUUCCACUUACCCAUUUGCCAUUUGUAUCUCACAGUGCAAAACCAGAAGGCAAAUAAAAAAACAUUCAUCUAAAUUUUCAGAUAUUCCUAAUAUACCUAGUGCCUCAGUUUUUUGUAUGCCUGACUUGAGUUAUACUUAAGAUUUUCAUAGGACAAGUAUUCAUGCAGUUCCAGGUCAAUUUACUGUUGCCUCUCAGAUGUACAGGGCAUAUGGCCCAGACUCUGCACCGAAACACUCCUGUUUCUGGUGCUGCCUGCCCGAGCACUCUACCACGUAAGGCUGAGCCCUGGACAAAGUAGUGAAACACAGGGGCAUUACAGUAAUGACAUUCCCUCUUCCGUGCUCAUGAAUCAAGUCCCACUCGCAUUCCCCAUGGACAGCCAGGCAGACCUUUUAUGGUCACAUAGGGGUACUUAAUUAUGCACAUAUAUGUGUUCUUCUACUACUUUAACAGCGUAAGAGUCACUUGAGCAAUAGAUUUGAUUUUAUGAACCAAAAGGAUAAAACUCAGGUUCUCUGGUGGACAAUGAAAGUGGAUUUUUUCCACUCUUCCUUAUUUUAUUUUUGUUAAUAUCACCCUUAAACUUUGAAUUAUCCUGCAAGCAUUAGGGCUCAUUAACUUUGUUUCAGCUUGUACUUUGUGUUAAUGGGACAUUUUUUUUGUAACAAAUAUGAAUCACUUGAAUGCUAAGGCUUAAAUGUUUAAUACAAGUCAUUAGUAGAAUUACGUGUGAGGACUUAUAAGAAAGAUGAUGGUGUUGUUAUGGUUACUGCUGUAUCUCUGGCUGUCAGUGGUCUUUCUAAGUUACCCUCUGCUUAUGUCAGGCCUUGAGUUUUUAGCCUUCCAUGGAUGGGAUAAUCUGAUUCUCACAUACUUACAGCAAGCUCCGGCCUACAUACCCCAUACUUUCUCCAGGCUCACGUGAGAACAGAGACCUUCAGCCUUCCUGUGUGACCCAAACAAUGUUUUCAAAACAGAAGAGCCAUUUAACCUUUGAAAUAAAGCAUGUUGGUUAAAAACUGUUUCACAUUCACUUUAUCUUGUAGUCUUGCCAAUGUCUACUAAAGUAAACAUCUACAGAUCUGA